CCUACGGGAGGCAGCAGUGAGGAAUAUUGGUCAAUGGGCUUACGCCUGAACCAGCCAAGUCGCGUGAGUGAAGACUGCCCUAUGGGUUGUAAACCUCUUUUGUCAGGGAGCAAUUGGCGCUACGUGUAGCGUUAUCGAGAGUACCUGAAGAAAAAGCAUCGGCUAACUCCGUGCCAGCAGCCGCGGUAAUACGGAGGUUGCGAGCGUUCACAGGAUUUUUUGGGUUUAAGGGGUGCGUAGGCGGAAUGCCAAGUCAGCGGUAAAAUCGCGGGGUUCAACCUCGCUCCGCCGUUGAAACUGGCGUUCUUGAGUGGGCGAGAAGUAUGCGGAAUGCGUGGUGUAGCGGUGAAAUGCAUAGAUAUCACGCAGAACUCCGAUUGCGAAGGCAGCAUACCGGCGCCCAACUGACGCUGAAGCACGAAAGCGUGGGUAUCGAACAGGAUUAGAUACCCGAGUAGUC
rnacentral:rRNA from 1 species